rnacentral:rRNA from 1 species
UAGCAUAUCAAUAAGCGGAGGAAAAGAAACUAACAAGGAUUCCCUAGUAACUGCGAGUGAAGCGGGAAAAGCUCAAAUUUGAAAUCUGGCAGUCUUUUUUUUNUUCUUUGGCUGUCCGAGUUGUAAUCUAGAGAAGUGCUUACCUGCACUGGACCAUGUAUAAGUCUCCUGGAAUGGAGCGUCACAGAGGGUGAGAAUCCCGUCUUUGACAUGGACUGCCAGUGUGUUGUGGUGUGCUCUCAAAGAGUCGAGUUGUUUGGGAAUGCAGCUCUAAAUGGGUGGUAAACUCCAUCUAAAGCUAAAUAUUGGCGAGAGACCGAUAGUGAACAAGUACCGUGAGGGAAAGAUGAAAAGGACUUUGGAAAGAGAGUUAAACAGUAUGUGAAAUUGUUGAAAGGGAAACGCUUGAAGUCAGUUAUGUUGGCUAGGGAUCAACCUAGCUAUUUUUGCUGGGUGAAUUUUCUAGUCUGACAGGCCAACAUCAGUCUUGACUGCUGGAAAAGAGCAGAGGGAAUGUGGCACCUUUGGGUGUGUUAUAGCCCUUUGUCAUAUGUAGCAGUUGGGACUGAGGGAUGCAGCGUGCCGCGAGGCUGGGUUUCGACCACGUUCACGCUUAGGAUGUUGGCUUUUAAUGGCUUCAAUCGACCCGUCUUGAAACACGGACCAAGGAGUCUAACAUGCCUGCGAGUGUUUGGGUGGAAAACCCUUGCGCACAAUGAAAGUGAAAGUUGAGAUCCCUGUCAUGGGGAGCAUCGACGCCCGGACCUGAGCUUUUAGCAAUGGAUCCGCGGUAGAGCAUGCAUGUUGGGACCCGAAAGAUGGUGAACUAUGCCUGAAUAGGGCAAAGCCAGAGGAAACUCUGGUGGAGGCUCGUAGCGAUUCUGACGUGCAAAUCGAUCGUCAAAUUUGGGUAUAGGGGCGAAAGACUAAUCGAACCAUCUAGUAGCUGGUUC